rnacentral:rRNA from 1 species
GCGGUGAAUACGUUCCCGGGCCUUGUACACACCGCCCGUCACACCAUGGGAGUGGGUUGCACCAGAAGUAGAUAGCUUAACCUUCGGGAGGGCGUUUACCACGGUGUGAUUCAUGACUGGGGUGAAGUCGUAACAAGGUAACCCUAGGGGAACCUGGGGUUGGAUCACCUCCUUACCUUAA